UCAGCAGCUCGAUACUCUUCGGCAUCCUCUUCUCAGACCUCAAUGACACAGACGUGGGUUGAUGCACAUGUGAAGGAGAUCAUGUAGAGGCUUUGGAGAAAAUGGCCUCGAAGCUUCCAAGAUGUCAUCCGUGAUACAGUCGUUGAGAUUCUUUGGGAUCUAUAUCUGUAUAAUUAGCUGGACUCAUCACAACCAUCACA
rnacentral:lncRNA from 1 species